rnacentral:misc_RNA from 1 species
UUUUUUGUUUCGAUAUUUCGUUACAUACUUUAACUAGUGUUUUAAAAUGAGCCGCAGAAGGAAGCUCGAUUGCUCAAGUCCUUCCGCCAAUAAAUGCACAGAGUUAGAAAGUGGAGGUCACGCUCUACAAGUAGAUGCGCUAAUAUUCACUAAUGAUCCUUCCGCAGGUUCACCUACGGAAA